ACAGGGUGACAGGUGGUGCAUGGUUGUCGUCAGCUCGUGUCGUGAGAUGUUGGGUUAAGUCCCGCAACGAGCGCAACCCUCGACCUUAGUUGCCAGCAUUCAGUUGGGCACUCUAAGGUGACUGCCGGCUAAAAGUCGGAGGAAGGUGGGGAUGACGUCAAAUCAUCAUGCCCCUUAUGACCUGGGCUACACACGUGCUACAAUGGGCGGUACAAAGGGCUGCGAACCCGCGAGGGGGAGCGAAUCCCAAAAAGCCGCUCUCAGUUCGGAUUGCAGGCUGCAACUCGCCUGCAUGAAGCCGGAAUCGCUAGUAAUCGCGGAUCAGCAUGCCGCGGUGAAUACGUUCCCGGGCCUU
rnacentral:rRNA from 1 species